rnacentral:rRNA from 1 species
GAUGAACGCUAGCGGCAGGCCUAAUACAUGCAAGUCGGACGGGAUUCAGGAGCUUGCUUCUGAUGAGAGUGGCGCACGGGUGCGUAACACGUAUGUAACCUACCUUCAUCAGGGGGAUAGCCUCUCGAAAGAGAGAUUAAGCCCGCAUAAAAUCACAGCACAGCAUUGUGUAAUGAUCAAAUAUUUAUAGGAUAAAGAUGGGCAUGCGGAACAUUAGCUAGAUGGCGGGGUAACGGCCCACCAUGGCGACGAUGUUUAGGGGAUCUGAGAGGAUGGCCCCCCACACUGGUACUGAGACACGGACCAGACUCCUACGGGAGGCAGCAGUAAGGAAUAUUGGUCAAUGGGCGGAAGCCUGAACCAGCCAUGCCGCGUGCAGGAAGACGGCCCUACGGGUUGUAAACUGCUUUUAUACGGGAAUAAACCCAGAUACGUGUAUCUGGCUGAAUGUACUGUAAGAAUAAGGAUCGGCUAACUCCGUG